UACGUAGGGGGCAAGCGUUAUCCGGAUUUACUGGGUGUAAAGGGAGCGUAGACGGUGAUGUAAGUCUGGAGUGAAAGGCGGGGGCCCAACCCCCGGACUGCUUUGGAAACUGUAUAGCUGGAGUGCAGGAGAGGUAAGUGGAAUUCCUAGUGUAGCGGUGAAAUGCUUAGAUAUCGCGCAGAACCCCGAUUGCGAAGGCAGCGUACCGGCUCCACACUGACGCUGAGGCACGAAAGCGUGGGUAUCGAACAGG
rnacentral:rRNA from 1 species